AUCUGAGUGCUGGAAUUUGGUAGACAGAAGGUAGUUAAGAUAUCUCGAGCUUGAUCAUGAGUGUUCAAGUCACUCCUCAGAUA
rnacentral:tRNA from 1 species